rnacentral:rRNA from 1 species
UUCACGGAGAGUUUGAUCCUGGCUCAGGAUAAACGUUGGCGGCAUGCCUAACACAUGCAAGUCGAACGCUCCA